AGAAUCAACGCUGGCGGCGUGCCUAACACAUGCAAGUCGAACGAGAAAGUGGAGCAAUCCAUGAGUAAAGUGGCGCACGGGUGAGUAACACGUGACUAACCUACCCUUGAGUGGGGGAUAACCUAGAGAAACCUGGGCUAAUACCGCAUAAUACCUUCGGGUCAAAGGAGCAAUUCGCUUAAGGAGGGGGUCGCGGCCGAUUAGUUAGUUGGCGGGGUAAUGGCCCACCAAGACUAUGAUCGGUA
rnacentral:rRNA from 1 species